GAUGAAGAACGCAGCGAAAUGCGAUACUUGGUGUGAAUUGCAGAAUCCCGUGAACCAUCGAGUCUUUGAACGCAAGUUGCGCCCGAAGCCAUCAGGCCGAGGGCACGCCUGCCUGGGCGUCACACGUCGUUGCCCCCCCAUCUACUCCUUCGGGAUUGCGGGGGGCGGAUGAUGGCCUCUCGUGCGCCUCGUCGCGCGGUUGGCCUAAAUGCCAAGUCCUCGGCGACGCACGCCACGACAAUCGGUGGUUGCGAAACCUCGGUUGCCUGUCGUGUGCGGUCGUCGCGCAUCGAGGGCUCGAAAAAAUUGCCGGGCUUCGGCUCGACUUUCAACGCGACCCCAGGUCAGGCGGGGUUACCCGCUGAAUUUAAGCAUAUCAAUAAGCGGAGGA
rnacentral:misc_RNA from 1 species